rnacentral:rRNA from 1 species
UAUAGCUUGACACUGAACAUUGAGCCUUGAUGUGUAGGAUAGGUGGGAGGCUUUGAAGUGUGGACGCCAGUCUGCAUGGAGCCGACCUUGAAAUACCACCCUUUAAUGUUUGAUGUUCUAACGUUGACCCGUAAUCCGGGUUGCGGACAGUGUCUGGUGGGUAGUUUGACUGGGGCGGUCUCCUCCUAAAGAGUAACGGAGGAGCACGAAGGUUGGCUAAUCCUGGUCGGACAUCAGGAGGUUAGUGCAAUGGCAUAAGCCAGC